GGCCCCGUAGCUCAAUUGGAUAGAGCACCUGCCUUCUAAGCAGGUUGUUGCAGGUUCGAGUCCUGCCGGGGUCGCCA
rnacentral:tRNA from 3 species